AUUGGACGCUGGCGGCAGGCCUAACACAUGCAAGUCGGACGGUAGCACAGAGGAGCUUGCUCCCCGGGUGACGAGUGGCGGACGGGUGAGUAAUGUCUGGGGAUCUGCCCGAUAGAGGGGGAUAACCACUGGAAACGGUGGCUAAUACCGCAUAACGUCGCAAGACCAAAGAGGGGGACCUUCGGGCCUCUCACUAUCGGAUGAACCCAGAUGGGAUUAGCUAGUAGGCGGGGUAACGGCCCAUCUAGGCGACGAUCCCUAGCUGGUCUGAGAGGAUGACCAGCCACACUGGAACUGAGACACGGUCCAGACUCCUACGGGAGGCAGCAGUGGGGAAUAUUGCACAAUGGGCGCAAGCCUGAUGCAGCCAUGCCGCGUGUAUGAAGAAGGCCUUCGGGUUGUAAAGUACUUUCAGCGGGGAGGAAGGCGAUGUGGUUAAUAACCGCGUCGAUUGACGUUACCCGCAGAAGAAGCACCGGCUAACUCCGUGCCAGCAGCCGCCGCAG
rnacentral:rRNA from 1 species